rnacentral:rRNA from 1 species
AUUGAACGCUGGCGGCAGGCCUAACACAUGCAAGUCGAGCGGAUGACGGAAGCUUGCUCCUUGAUUCAGCGGCGGACGGGUGAGUAAUGCCUAGGAAUCUGCCUGGUAGUGGGGGACAACGUUUCGAAAGGAACGCUAAUACCGCAUAAGUCCUACGGGAGAAAGCAGGGGACCUUCGGGCCUUGCGCUAUCAGAUGAGCCUAGGUCGGAUUAGCUGGUUGGUUAGGUAAUGGCUAACCAAGGCGACGAUCCGUAACUGGUCUGAGAGGAUGAUCAGUCACACUGGGACUGAGACACGGUCCAGACUCCUACGGGAGGCAGCAGUGGGGAAUAUUGGACAAUGGGCGAAAGCCUGAUCCAGCCAUGCCGCGUGUGUGAAGAAGGUCUUCGGAUUGUAAAGCACUUUAAGUUGGGAGGAAGGGCAGUAAGUUAAUACCUUGCUGUUUUGACGUUACCGACAGAAUAAGCACCGGCUAACUCUGUGCCAGCCGCCGCCGUAAGAC